rnacentral:rRNA from 1 species
AAUUUUGGACAAUGGGGGAAACCCUGAUCCAGCCAUCCUGCGUGUAGGAUGAAGGCCUUAGGGUUGUAAAGUAGUUUUAGCAUAGAAGAAAAGGUAUCCCCUAUUAGGGGAUACGGGUGACGGUAUCUGCAGAUUAAGGAACGGUCAACCACGUGCCAGGAGCCGCCGUGAUUCGUAGGGUGCAAGCGUGAAUCGGAAUUACUGGGCCUAAAUGGUGUGUAGGCGGUUCGGAAAGAAAGAUGUGAAAACCCAGGGAUCAACCUUGGUACUGCAUUUUUAACUGCCGAGCUAGAGUAUGUCAGAGGGGGGUAGAAUUCCACGUGUAGCAGUGAAAUGCGUAGAUAUGUGGAGGGAUACCGAUGGCGAAGGCAGACCCCUGGAAUAAUACUGACGCUCAGAAACGAAAGCGUGGGGAGCAAACAGG